AGAACCCCAUUUCAGCCUCUUGUAUUUAUGAUUGUAUUCUAUCAAAUUUACAGUAUUGAACUUAGUUAAUUAAUAAUUUUUCUUUUCAAUCACUUUCUGUUAACGAAGGUCAAGAAAGUAAUGCAUCAGGAGAAGAAGAAUAUAAUAUUUCGGGCCUAGGAAGCUCCUUGUCGAUGCGCGAUUGCUCAAUGGGUAGCGAGACUGCUUUGAAAAUACCAGAUACUGCUGAGCCAAACCCAAGCAGAAUUUACACAACCACCAUGACUGAAGCAACAAGGGCUGAGUCAGUGAGAGUUGAGCCAUUUAGAGGGGACUUUGAUCCCACUUAUCAAGAUGCUAUAUCCUUACAUACAUCCAGCGAUUAUUCACCAUCCCUUCCUUACAUUCAACCAGUCCAAAUGACACAAACAGGCAUUGUUCUCCCUCAGCUCGUGCAUUACGCACAGCCAAUGAACAAGACAAGGAACAGAGAAUACGUGUAACAACAGCACUCAUCUCAUGACCAAUACGAAAAUACAUACAUACAUACAUAUAUAUAUAUAUAUAUCGAUUUAAAUAAGAGCUAAAAUCUGAUCCAUUGUAAAGUCUUUAUUAUGACCUAUGACCAUUUCGAUGCAAUAUCCAGAUCGAUUCAUGUAUAUUAUAAAAUAUGGGAUAUUGUAUCUCCUCAGGGUCGUUUUAAUACAAGGCAGACAAUAAAAAUAGAUAACAUUCAUAGACAACAUUCAUAGUUGACCUAUAAUUUACAUGUAAAUAAACAAGUUGAGAAAACAUGAGAUGUAAUACAACAGUACAGCAUAUCGGUAUUGAAACCGUAAGAAGACCAAACAAAUGAUAAUUGAUGCAAAUUUAUGAUGUUAUUCUGUGAAGUUCGAUAACGAACCAAUACGGUACGCUGUACAUUCCAAAAAGGACCGUUGGAGUUAUGAAAGUAAAUAUAUAUAUAUAUAUGGCCA